rnacentral:lncRNA from 1 species
UCUCUAGUCUUGUUUAAUCUAACUUGAUGAAGUCAGUGAAAAGAUUUAUGAUUUAUCGAUUGGACCAGCCUAUUCCUAGUCCAAUUCAAUGACUUGGUGAAGUCAGUGGGAGGACUUUUGACUGCUGGUUGAUUUCUUUUCUUUUCUAAAAUAUAUCAAUAAAUUUUUUAAAUUAUUAGAUCCCUAAAAUAAAAUAGUUAUGGUGAUAACUAGAUCAUAGUCUCUCAUUAAGUUGGGUGAUAAUAAGUCCAUUAGUCUGAUAAUCAUUGG